rnacentral:tRNA from 1 species
GGAGGCGUCGGAUAGCGGUUUAUUCCACUACCUUGGAAAGGUAGCAUGUCGCAAGGCAUCGAGAGUUCGAAUCUCUCCGCCUCCGCCA